AUUGAACGCUGGCGGCAGGCCUAACACAUGCACGUCGAACGAGUGGCGGACGGGUGAGUAAUUUCUGGGAAACUGCCUGAUGGAGGGGGCUAACUACUGGAAACGGUAGCUAAUACCACAUACCAUAAGAUGUGCCAAGGUGGGAUUAGCUAGUUGGGGGGGUAACGGCUCACCAGGGCGACGAUCCCUAGCUGGUCUGAGAGGAUGACCAGCCACACUGGAACUGAGACACGGUCCAGACUCCUACGGGAGGCAGCAGUAGGGAAUAUUGCACAAUGGGCGAAAGCCUGAUGCAGCCAGGCCGCGUGUAUGAAGAAGGCCUUCGGAUUGUAAAGUACUUUCGGCGGUGAGGCGGUACUCGCAGAGGAAGCACCGGCUAACUCCGUGCCAGCAGCCGCGGUAAUUC
rnacentral:rRNA from 1 species